rnacentral:lncRNA from 10 species
AGUUGAGAAUUUUCACAAAAAAGUGUGAUUUUUUUUUUUUUUUUCUGAGACAAGGUCUCACUCUGUUGCCUAGGCUGGAGUGCAGUGGCACUAUACAAUUUUGAGAGCAAGAACCCAUCAUGGCUCACUGCAGCCUUGACCUCCCAGGCUCAAGUGAUCCUCCCUUCUCCCAUGUCAAUCUCCCUGGUAGCUGGGAAUACAAGCAUGUUCCACCACGAUCGGACAAUUUUUUUUUUAAUUUUUUGUAAAGACAAGGUCUCAUUAUGUUUCCCAGACUGGUCUCCACCUCUUGGGCGCAAGUGAUCCUCCUGCCUCUGCCUUAUAAAGUUCUGGGAUUAUAGGCAUGAGCCACCACACCCAGCACAUUGUGGUGUUUCUUAUACAUGAUAAGACUUUGGAAAUAUGGAUGUGUAAACGUUUUAAAAAGAAAACUCAAAAUGAAAAAUUGAUAUUUGGGGCAGAGACAUUAGGAACUGAAUUUAACAGACCCACCUGCAGCAUCUGGGAUAGGCCUUGAAACUGUGGGGCUGCGGGGCCCUGGGGAGGAGCUGGCCCCUCUGCGGUCAACCGAGAACCAAAUUCUCAACUUGCACCACUCCCCACUCCCACUGAGGAAUCCUGUACCAUCACAAGAAAGGUCACCUCACAGACCUCCUGGGGCUCUGCACAGCCGCCCCCUAGAAUGGCCCUCUGAGGCCCAGAGUGGAAGUGGGGGAAGAGUAUGACUUCCUUUCAAAGUAGUUCUACUCUGCUUACUCUGCUGCUGUAAUCUUAUGAGUUGGGAAGCUGAAAAUUAGGGGAAUAACCCACCCUUUCUUUUCUUUUCCUUUCUUUUCUUUUCUCUUUUCUUUUCCUUCCUUCCUUCCUUCCUUCCUUCCUUCCUUCCUUCCUUCUUUCCUUCCUUUCUUUCUUUCUUUCCUUCUUUCUUUUUCUUUCUUUUCUUUCCUUCUUUUCUUUUCUCUUUUCUUUCCUUCCUUCCUUCCUUCCUUCCUUCCUUCCUUCCUUCCUUCCUUCCUUUCUUUCCUUCUUUCUUUUUCUUUCUUUUCUUUCCUUCUUUCUUUUAUUUUCUUUGGAGUCUUGCUCUGUUGCCCAGGCGGGAGUGCAGUGGCACAAUCUCAGCUCACUGCAACCUCCGCUUCCCAGGUUCAAGCAAUUCUCCUGCCUCAGCCUCCAGAGUAGCUGAGAUUAUAGGCGCACACCACAAUGCCCGGCUAAUUUUUGUAUUUUUAGUAGAGACAGUAUUUCACCAUGUUGGUCAGGCUGGUCUCAAACUCCUGACCUUGUGAUCCGCCUGCCUUGGCCUCCCAAAGUUCUGGGACUGCAGGUGUGAGGUCACAUUUUCUUUUAAGAAGAAAUCUAAUAUACAUUUAAUACAAGAGGAUAUGUGAGGACUAACUGAUGAGGAAGGUUGCUGAAGUUACCUUUAAUUUGAAUACAAAACAUGAACGUAAAAUCUCCUGGUGGCAUCUCUGGCCCUCAGGAGCAUCUCAUUCUGCACCGAAGAGGUGAAGGCAGGGAGGCCCCCCUGGAAGUCAAGGCAGGACUUGAGCUCAGUCCAGAGUUCCAGGAGGGGGAGGGAGAAGUGGGCAGACACUGCACUUGAGCAAUAAUCACCUCUCUCCUUUUUUUCUUGUGUCAACUUGGCUACCCCUGCUGCUUAACCAAGGAAGGUUUGUCUUUGAUGCUUUAGGGGCAAGAAGAAAUGACCUCAGCCCAGCACAGUGGCACAUGCCUGUAAUGUCAGCUACUUGAAGCUGAGGCAAGAGGUUCACUUGAGCUUGGGAGUUUGAGGCUGCAGUGAGCUGUGAUCAUGCCACUGCACUGUAGCCUGGGAGGGAAUGCAUGGAAAUACAUAGCGAGACCUCAUCUCUUAAAAAGGAAAAAAGAAAAAGAAAUGACCUAAAGAAUACUGUGAGGAUAUCAUAUCACCUUCUUGUUCCCUUCAGCUCUGUAAGUGCCCAUCUCAAAACCCAGAGCCCAGUUUGGGAAAGUGCUCAGUGUAAACUGAGGACUAGCAAAAGCAAACGCUCACUGCUGAUUCACGUUGGAGCCACAGCCUCUCCUGGGAAUAACAGCCUUCUGGAAACAUAACAGUAUUUGGCAUACAAUUCCUGUUCAGUAAAUAUCAACUGAAGCAUGAGAGAAACGCUACCUAAAUGACAUGGUUAUUGAAGUACUUAACAAUAAUAUAAAAAACAUAUGUAGAACUACAAACUGUAACACACUGGAGAUUAACUUCUGCCAUAACAGUAUGAGGAGCUCCACUGACCUGUUACCCAGUAAAAGUGGUGAAAAUUAUAAAGCAAACAAACAACAUAUUUAAAUGCUCUGGAAAUGAUUCUAAGGACAAACAGUGAAGAAGCAUCUAUUCAAGAAAAUUCAGUAAGAAAUUUGAAAGUCUGUGGUAUGUGAACCAAGACUACUUACUCCACUCUUCCCCCUAUAAAGCAGAGACUCCACUCCAGACUGCUGCAGCCAAGACCACAGGGCUUCCUUGCCCCACCAGCUUCUAGUCAGAGAGGCCUUUAUUCCCAGGAGGAGCAGGACUUCAGUGUUUCUCAUCUUGCCCCAGCUAUCUGUUACUGCAGCUAUGUUCCAGAUCAGUGGAAAUGAGUAGUAAGAGCUCUUUUCUUCUGCCCAGCCCCACCACUUGUGGAAUGGAGGCUGUACCGGGGCAUGACGUGCUAAGAACACUGGGGUGCUGAUUGCCUUUCCCUGGCUUGUGAAGUGGUGGUCCCACACAGGAGCUACAAACUCAUAUGACCUCAGGCUCCUGCUCCACUCCCCUGCACAAAAUAUAAAGUUCCUAGAGUGAGAAUAUCACUAGGAGAGAAGCUUGCCACUAUCCUCACACCCAGCUUCAAAACCUUGGCUCAGAUCAUUUUACCUGGAAAGGAAAACAAGCAUUAAAAUAGAUAUCUCUUAAUCCUUUCUCCCAAAAUCUGGACUUAAUUUGCAAUAGGGUGUGGAGAAGUUUAAACUUAACAGUGCUCUCAAGAACAGUGGAUGUUAUGGGAAAAGGUAAUUGAGAGGAAAUUCAUGGAUUUAAUGACUGUAGACAACUAGUUUGCAGGAGAGAAGCAGGAAUAAGCCUGCUAGAAAGAGCCUUCCUGAGGGCAGA